rnacentral:antisense_RNA from 1 species
UGCUCGUCCAGCAGGUCGGCCUCGCCAAAGUACUCACCGUCGCCCAGCAGUGCUAUCCGUAGUUCUUCACCGUGAGGACCCUUGCUGAUUACCUCGGCCUGACCGCUCGCCACGAUAAAGAAGCGCUGCUUGUCCUUACCUUCCUCCACGAACAGGUUGUCAACAUCAACCUCCUUCGUCUCGAAAGAGCUAACCAGACGGUUCAAGAUCUCGUCAUCGAAUUCCGAGAACAGCGGGAUAGCCUUCAGGUUCUUCGCUGUAAACGAGGGUACACCAUCCACAUACUGGAUAGGCAGGCGGUCGUUCUUGCGGAGUUCCACCUUCGUGCGGUUCACACGGAACGUUCCACCAGACACCUGCACCCAAGGCAGGAGUUUCAACAACAGUCUUGGAGUGAUCGAGCCCAUCUGCGGGGCUGUCUUGGUAGUGGUCGCCAGUCUUCUGGCGGUAGCAGUG